UCAAUAACAAAAACAUUAUCAGUGGCCA
rnacentral:sRNA from 1 species